GACGAACGCUGGCGGCGUGCUUAACACAUGCAAGUCGAACGGAAAGGCCCUGCUUUUGUGGGGUGCUCGAGUGGCGAACGGGUGAGUAACACGUGAGUAACCUGCCCUUGACUUUGGGAUAACUUCAGGAAACUGGGGCUAAUACCGGAUAGGAGCUCCUGCUGCAUGGUGGGGGUUGGAAAGUUUCGGCGGUUGGGGAUGGACUCGCGGCUUAUCAGCUUGUUGGUGGGGUAGUGGCUUACCAAGGCUUUGACGGGUAGCCGGCCUGAGAGGGUGACCGGCCAAAUUGGGACUGAGAUACGGCCAAGACUCCUACGGGAGGCAGCAGGGGGGAAUAUGGAAAAAUGGGCGGAAGCCUGAUGAAGCAACGCCGCGUGCGGGAUGACGGCCUUCGGGUGGUAAACCGCUUUCGCCUGUGACGAAGCGUGAGUAACGGUAAUGGGUAAAGAAGAACCGGCUAACUACGUG
rnacentral:rRNA from 1 species